rnacentral:lncRNA from 1 species
CUGGGAAGAGACUGCCCUUCCCGGGGUUAGCCAAAUACUAGAGACAGUAAACAGCUUGUUGGUGAGCCUACCUUUUAUAUACAAACCAAACAAUCCUGAGUCCAUACCCCCGACCACCUCCAUAUUUAACUCUCACACACUAAGCCAAUAUUUCCUCUGCCAUAAUCAACCCAGGGCCAGGUACCGGACAACUAGGGAUAGCCUCUAUACCCCAGAGCUAACUGGAAUUAUUCAAACUAGCCAGUCCUAAGCGUUUACCCUGCCCUGACUUGCCUUUCCCACAGAAACCCCAAUAAAGGUCAUGGCCUUGGCCUUCUCUCGCUCCUUUCUGCCUCUGACUAACACUGGUGCUUUCCCCUGUGGCCCUACAUGGCACACUGUGCCUCCUGUUUCUAGAGGAACAUUAAACUUCUUUCAAAGGCAUUGACCCCUCCAUGUCAUCACACAGUCACCUUUAUAAAUUAAGACUCAGGCACAGAUCACCCCUGAGAGAUCCUGAUCCAAAACCACCUAAGCCAUUCCUGGAUACAUGACUCACAGAAACCUUGGGAGAUAGUAAAUACUUAUUGCAGCAACUAAGUUUUGGAUAAUUUGUUUCACAGCAAUGGAUAAUACAGAUGGUCACGUGACCUAGUUCUGGCUAAUGAGAGAUAAAGGAAAGCAGGCUGAGGUAUUUCUAGAAGCUUUCCUGAUAAAAGGAUCAGAAAUGAGAGGAGAGCUCAGGGGUAUCACCCUCUUUGAACAAGGAUGAUGCUUACAGAAGUGACAGUCAUCUUGGGACCAUGAGGCACUGAAAUAAAAGGAUAGAGGAGUGAAAAGUAGGAAAAACUUGUGUCUUUUAUAACAUCACUAAGCUGUGGAACAACUUUGUGACAGCCUGCAUCCAUAUUUGUAGACAUAGAAACAAUAAACGUCCUAUGGUUUAAGCCACUGUAUCCUGCAACUUGCAGCUUAAUGCAUCCCUAACAGAUAUAAUCAGCAUGCACAUUAGCGUCUCACUUAACUGAAGUAACUUAUGCAAUGACUUCACUUAUCUAGAAUCUGAAACGAGGCUAAAAGGGCAACUGAGGACCAAAACCAACACCACAAUAUCCAUACCAAGCACCUUACUGUAAGGCAGUGAGGAAGGCACCCUAUUCCCUCAAACCACUCGAACGUUUCCUCUCGUGAGGAGGAGAGCCUUGACCCAGUGCUGCGACCUCCCCCCGGGUCAGGAAGCUCUGCCUGCACAGCAUUUCCUGCGUGUGGGAAAGAAACAGGAUGAGCAGAUAAAUCCCCCGAGGCUUAUUUUCAAGUGUGUGAGGCCUUCUGUUUGGUGAGUCUGCAGCAGCCCUGGCCAAGAUGACCAACGGUGACGUGUGUUUCUAAAAGUAAUCAAAAAGGAUGACCGUGCACCCAUGAAGCACAAGGCUGGAUGUGGUAGAGGAGAAGAGCACGGGUCAUUGUCCCUGCUCUUUAGGACUGCGUUGGUUUGACUCUUCCCAGAAGCAGACCCUAAGAUAAGUAUUUAAGUGCAAAUAAUGUAUCUGGGAGGCAAUUUGGGGAAUCUCUGCAGGGGAACCGGGAAGUGAAACAGGGACGGGAAGGUGGCCAAUGAGGGAAGCAUUAUCAAGGUGGCUACCUUGGUGGGAACCCAGAGUGCAACCCCGCUAGGGGACUCUCAGAGACAGUGUAGAGCAUGCCUCAGUCACCCCAACAAAGGGGUGAGGGAGCUGGGGUGUCUAUCCACCAAAUCUCUGUCCUUUGUUGGUUGAGGGCUGUUUCGGGGGGCACCAACUCGGGGCACUUCUGGCUCGGCCGCCUGCAGGCCCAAGUUGCUCCUGAGGCCAGAACAACACCAUUCACAGUAAGCAGGCUUUUGUGGGUAGAGGCGAUUCUCAGCGGGGAUAUGGGCGGAGUCUGCUCUAGGGGCUGACCACUAAUUGAUUUUACAUUCACAGGAAAAGGCAGACACAGGCCCAGGAGACAUGUCUCCCCGUCCCUGGGUGAGGAUGUGGAGGGCGUAGGCAGUGUAAUAGUGGGGGCUUUUCCUGUCCAGGCUCCCAUCUCCUCAUGCUGAGAAAUCACGUUGCCACACUGUUGGUAGAGUCAGCUAGUAUGCGCAAACAGCCAUGUCUUCCUCUUUGACACUCAGCUAGACUACAUUUCCCAGCCUCCCUUGCAGUUAGGAGGCAUCAUAUGAUUGAUUCCAGCCAAUGAAAUAUGAGCAGAAGGGGCGUUUGCCUCUACCAGGCUUGGAUCAGAAGAAACCUCCCACGCACUACCCUUUUUCUCUCCUUCUCUUU